rnacentral:rRNA from 1 species
GAUGAACGCUGGCGGCGUGCCUAAUACAUGCAAGUCGAGCGCUCAGAGGAGGACUUUCUUCCUCGGACGUUUUCCGCGGGCGUGUGAAUAACAUGUGGAUCCCCUACCUAUAAGACUGGGAUCACUUCGGGAAACUGGAGCUAAUCCCGGAUAAUAUAUUGACCCACGUGGUUCAAUAGUAAAAUACGGUUUUGCUAUUACUUGUUGAUGGAUCCCGGCCUAAUUAGCUAGUUGGUAAGGUAACGGCUUACCAAGGCAACACUUCGUAGCCGACUUAGGAGGGGGAUGGGCAACACGGGAACUGAGAAACGGUCCAGACUCCUACGGAAGGAGCAAGUAGGGAAUCUUCCGCAAUGAGCGAAAGCUGGACGGAGCAACGCCGCGGGAUGGAUGAAGGUCUUCGAACCGAAAAACUCGGUGAAUAGGGAAGAAGAAAUGGGGAAGUGACAAUGCACGUCGUGACGGUACCUAAUCAGAAAGCGACGGCUAACUACGUG